GCCGGGCGCGGUGGCUCACGCCUGUAAUCCCAGCACUUUGGGAGGCCGAGGCGGGAGGAUCACCUGAGGUCAGGAGUUUCGGACCAGCCUGGCCAACAGGGUGACACCCCGUCUCUA
ensembl:misc_RNA Metazoa_SRP Metazoan signal recognition particle RNA